AAGUCGUAACAAGGUUUCCGUAGGUGAACCUGCGGAAGGAUCAUUAAAUAAUCAAUAAUUUUGGCUUGUCCAUUAUUAUCUAUUUACUGUGAACUGUAUUAUUACUUGACGCUUGAGGGAUGCUCCACUGCUAUAAGGAUAGGCGGUGGGGAUGUUAACCGAGUCAUAGUCAAGCUUAGGCUUGGUAUCCUAUUAUUAUUUACCAAAAGAAUUCAGAAUUAAUAUUGUAACAUAGACCUAAAAAAUCUAUAAAACAACUUUCAACAACGGAUCUCUUGGCUCUC
rnacentral:misc_RNA from 1 species